rnacentral:rRNA from 1 species
GACGAACGCUGGCGGCGUGCUUAACACAUGCAAGUCGAACGGAAAGGCCCUGCUUUUGUGGGGUGCUCGAGUGGCGAACGGGUGAGUAACACGUGAGUAACCUGCCCUUGACUUUGGGAUAACUUCAGGAAACUGGGGCUAAUACCGGAUAGGAGCUCCUGCUGCAUGGUGGGGGUUGGAAAGUUUCGGCGGUUGGGGAUGGACUCGCGGCUUAUCAGCUUGUUGGUGGGGUAGUGGCUUACCAAGGCUUUGACGGGUAGCCGGCCUGAGAGGGUGACCGGCCACAUUGGGACGGGGAUACGGCCCAGACUCUUCCGGGGGGCAGCAGGGGGGAUUAUUGCACAUUGGGCGGAGGCCGGUUGAAGAAACGCCGCGUGCGGGAUGACGGCCUUCGGGUUGUAACCCGUUUUCGCCUGUGACAAACGGUGAGUGACGGUAAUGGGAAAGGAGGAACCGGCUACCUACUUG